rnacentral:sRNA from 1 species
AAAUUGGGAAACUCAUCAAAUUUUUUAGAAAUACCGAGACAUACUUGUCAGUUGAUGGCGGGCCCCACGCCGAAAGGCGUUGACUUUUGUCGCAGGCGGAUUACAAAGACUGGCGAGACCUCAAAACCUGUCAUCCGGAGUUUCGUCACAUUCCUUUGAUGUGGACUUUU